rnacentral:rRNA from 1 species
UCCAGGCAAAUCCGGAUAAUCAAGGCUGAGGUGUGAUGACGAGGCACUACGGUGCUGAAGUAACAAAUGCCCUGCUUCCAGGAAAAGCCUCUAAGCAUCAGGUAACAUCAAAUCGUACCCCAAACCGACACAGGUGGUCAGGUAGAGAAUACCAAGGCGCUUGAGAGAACUCGGGUGAAGGAACUAGGCAAAAUGGUGCCGUAACUUCGGGAGAAGGCACGCUGGUGUGUAGGUGAAGUCCCUGCGGAUGGAGCUGAGACCAGUCGAAGAUACCAGCUGGCUGCAACUGUUUAUUAAAAACACAGCACUGUGCAAACACGAAAGUGGACGUAUACGGUGUGACGCCUGCCCGGUGCCGGAAGGUUAAUUGAUGGGGUUAUCCGUAAGGAGAAGCUCUUGAUCGAAGCCCCGGUAAACGGCGGCCGUAACUAUAACGGUCCUAAGGUAGCGAAAUUCCUUGUCGGGUAAGUUCCGACCUGCACGAAUGGCGUAAUGAUGGCCAGGCUGUCUCCACCCGAGACUCAGUGAAAUUGAACUCGCUGUGAAGAUGCAGUGUACCCGCGGCAAGACGGAAAGACCCCGUGAACCUUUACUAUAGCUUGACACUGAACAUUGAGCCUUGAUGUGUAGGAUAGGUGGGAGGCUUUGAAGCGUGGACGCCAGUCUGCGUGGAGCCAACCUUGAAAUACCACCCUUUAAUGUUUGAUGUUCUAACGUUGGCCCCUGACCGGGGUUGCGGACAGUGUCUGGUGGGUAGUUUGACUGGGGCGGUCUCCUCCCAAAGCGUAACGGAGGAGCACGAAGGUUAGCUAAUCCUGGUCGGACAUCAGGAGGUUAGUGCAAUGGCAUAAGCUAGCUUGACUGCGAGCGUGACGGCGCGAGCAGGUGCGAAAGCAGGUCAUAGUGAUCCGGUGGUUCUGAAUGGAAGGGCCAUCGCUCAACGGAUAAAAGGUACUCCGGGGAUAACAGGCUGAUACCGCCCAAGAGUUCAUAUCGACGGCGGUGUUUGGCACCUCGAUGUCGGCUCAUCACAUCCUGGGGCUGAAGUAGGUCCCAAGGGUAUGGCUGUUCGCCAUUUAAAGUGGUACGCGAGCUGGGUUUAGAACGUCGUGAGACAGUUCGGUCCCUAUCUGCCGUGGGCGCUGGAGAAUUGAGGGGGGCUGCUCCUAGUACGAGAGGACCGGAGUGGACGCAUCACUGGUGUUCGGGUUGUCAUGCCAAUGGCACUGCCCGGUAGCUAAAUGCGGAAGAGAUAAGUGCUGAAAGCAUCUAAGCACGAAACUUGCCCCGAGAUGAGUUCUCCCUGAGACUUUAAGUCUCCUGAAGGAACGUUAAAGACGAUGACGUUGAUAGGCCGGGUGUGUAAGCGCAGCGAUGCGUUGAGCUAACCGGUACUAAUGAACCGUGAGGCUUAACC